AGUGGACGCUGGCGGUAGGCCUAACACAUGCAAGUCGAACGGCAGCACAGUAAGAGCUUGCUCUUACGGGUGGCGAGUGGCGGACGGGUGAGGAAUACAUCGGAAUCUACUUUUUCGUGGGGAUAACGUAGGGAAACUUACGCUAAUACCGCAUACGACCUACGGGUGAAAGCAGGGGAUCUUCGGACCUUGCGCGAUUGAAUGAGCCGAUGUCGGAUUAGCUAGUUGGCGGGGUAAAGGCCCACCAAGGCGACGAUCCGUAGCUGGUCUGAGAGGAUGAUCAGCCACACUGGAACUGAGACACGGUCCAGACUCCUACGGGAGGCAGCAGUGGGGAAUAUUGGACAAUGGGCGCAAGCCUGAUCCAGCCAUACCGCGUGGGUGAAGAAGGCCUUCGGGUUGUAAAGCCCUUUUGUUGGGAAAGAAAAGCAGCAGGUUAAUACCCCGCUGUUCUGACGGUACCCAAAGAAUAAGCACCGGCUAACUUCGUG
rnacentral:rRNA from 1 species